rnacentral:tRNA from 1 species
AUUAAAGUAGUUUAAUGAAAAUAUUGAUUUGUGGAAUCAGAGAUUAAGUAUUACUUUAAUU